CGCAGCGCCAGGAUCAGGUCAGAAACAGAGGCAGACCCGUGGAGAGUCUCGGGGCCCAGCCCCGGGGCUUGAAGUAGCUCUACGGUAUUUUUCUCCACGCGUGUUGGAUACAAUUCCCUCCCUUUUGCUUCAUAGUUACCAUACCGAAAUACUUCAACAAAUAAAAGCCUGCUGCACCUUCCGUGAGCAUUCAGGAGAUGGGGAGGAACAUCACUCUGGUGGGGACGCGGCUGUGCUGGUCAGACGCCCUGCUCUACUGCAGAGACUUUCACUGGGACCUGCUGAGCCUCAGGGGCCCAGAAGACCAGGAGAUGGUUGAUGAGCUGGAGGCUCGCGCCCCCUUCCCACUAACCAGCCACCUCUGGGUGGGCCUGCGCAGGUCUCUUUUAGGAAGCUCCUGGUUUUGGAUGUCCGGUGACCCGAUGGACUUCAGCCAAUGGGACGAAGGCUCAUACCAUUCUUCCCCCUGUGGGAGCGUGUCCAGCGUGGAACCUUCCACAUGGAGGCAGCGCUCCUGUGAAGAACAUCUUAACUUCAUCUGUUUCACAGGUCAGACAGAAGGAGUGAACAAGUUGCACUUCUAUAGUUCCACAAGAGAGAAUCAAGCUCGCUGCACCUAACUUGGCCUCCCUGGGGAAUAAAGCGGCAGAUUCUGAAGACGUCCUAAGGAGUGAAGGUUCUAAAUGAAUUAGCUCAGAGUGUCUGUGUUGUCUGCUAGCUGGUUCUGCAUUUUGUCAUUAUGGGCCACAUUUAUUCCCAGCAUAGCAUAAAGGAUAUAUUUACUUUGGUAUAUAAUCAAUAAACUUAUUUAUUAGCAGAUGUAGGUGCAUCAUUCCUUUGUUAAGAAAUGUGGAGAAUGUGAGUUCAAGAUGGUAUCAAAAGACUAGAUGAAGUAUCUGUUGGCUUUUAUCGCUGUCUGGCUUGACUGAUUUGAUGUGUUUUAAUAAUGUUGACGCUUUAACCAGUACUGAAUGUGCUGGUUUGUCUUUCUUUUGCAUAUGAAUGGAACAUAGAUAAUGUUCUUCAUUAAAAGUCUUC
ensembl:lncRNA